rnacentral:tRNA from 1 species
AGUAAAAUGGCUGAAUAAAGCAGAAAACUGUAACUUUUCUAAUGAGGUCCUCUCUUUUACUA